GCUGGGUGCGGUGGCGCAUGUCUUGUAGUCCCAGCUACUCAGGAGACUGAGGUGGAAGGAUCACCUGAGCCCAGGAGUUCUGGGCUGUAGUGCGCUAUGCCGAUAGGGUGUGUGCACUAAGUUCGGCAUCAAUAUGGUGACCUCCCAGGAGCAGGGGACCACCAGGUUGCCUAAAGAGGGGUGAACAGGCCCAGGCUGGAAACAGAGCAGGUUAAAACUCCCAUUCUGAUUAGCAAUCCCAUCCGACAUUGCAGGGAUCUCACCUGUGAAAAGCCACUGCACUCCAGCCUGGGCAACAUAGUGAGACCCCAUCUCU
rnacentral:SRP_RNA from 1 species